rnacentral:rRNA from 1 species
UGCAAGUCGACGGUGAAGCAGAGCUUGCUCUGUGGAUCAGUGGCGAACGGGUGAGUAACACGUGAGCAAUCUGCCCCUGACUCUGGGAUAAGCGCUGGAAACGGCGUCUAAUACCGGAUACGAGCUGCGAAGGCAUCUUCAGCAGCUGGAAAGAAUUUCGGUCAGGGAUGAGCUCGCGGCCUAUCAGCUUGUUGGUGAGGUAACGGCUCACCAAGGCGUCGACGGGUAGCCGGCCUGAGAGGGUGACCGGCCACACUGGGACUGAGACACGGCCCAGACUCCUACGGGAGGCAGCAGUGGGGAAUAUUGCACAAUGGGCGAAAGCCUGAUGCAGCAACGCCGCGUGAGGGACGACGGCCUUCGGGUUGUAAACCUCUUUUAGCAGGAAAGAAGCGAAAGUGACGGUACCUGCAGAAAAAGCGCCGGCUAACUACGUGCCAGCAGCCGCGGUAAUACGUAGGGCGCAAGCGUUAUCCGGAAUUAUUGGGCGUAAAGAGCUCGUAGGCGGUCUGUCGCGUCUGCUGUGAAAACCCGAGGCUCAACCUCGGGCCUGCAGUGGGUACGGGCAGACUAGAGUGCGGUAGGGGAGAUUGGAAUUCCUGGUGUAGCGGUGGAAUGCGCAGAUAUCAGGAGGAACACCGAUGG